GGUCUUGAGCGUCAGCAGCACGGCCCCGGCCAGCUGACCGGCAACCCUCCACAUGCGGUGGGGUGCCCCGGGUGACGACCUGGCCCCGUUCCUUCCGAGCGGGGCAAGCGCAG
rnacentral:ncRNA from 1 species